rnacentral:lncRNA from 1 species
GUGGUGUGAUUUCAAUCUCAGCUCACUGCAACCUCUGCCUCCCCGGUUCAAGUACUGCCAACAAGAAGGCCCAAUCAAGAUCCUCCCACAACAAGAGCAGAUUGUGAGCGUGGCAAGCUCUAUGCUGAGCACUGGAAGGACAAAGAGAGAUUGGGCACAGACUUCUCACUGAUCCAGGUGAUGAAGAGCUCACAUCUGAGAGGAUGUGACCAUGGAUGACCCACCAGAAUGUCAUGGGAUCCAGCUACAGCCAAGGAAGCACAGAGCACCGUGGGAGCGAUUUAUUGUGCUUGGGGAUGGGGAAGGGGACAUGGGAGGAGCCAUAUUGAGAAAGUAGCAUGGGUACUUGGCUUCACAGAGUGUGGCAGCUUUCAUCAGGAAGUGAUGGUGGGGGAACAGCGUCUCUGGCGGAGGGAAGCAGCAGGUGCAGAGGUGCAGAGGUGUGAGGAGUCUGUCACAUUCUGGGAAGGGAGUAUGGUUGGGUGACAAUGCAAGACAGAGAAAGCAAGGAGGGAAGGAGGGGCCUAGCCUGAGGAAUAAAGAAUAAUAAAAGCAGGAAAACAAUU